CCUACGGGUGGCAGCAGUGAGGAAUAUUGGUCAAUGGACGCAAGGCUGAACCAGCCAUGCCGCGUGCAGGAAGACGGCUCUAUGAGUUGUAAACUUCUUUUGUACGAGGGUAAACGCAGAUACGCGUAUCUGUCUGAAAGUAUCGUACGAAUAAGGAUCGGCUAACUCCGUGCCAGCAGCCGCGGUAAUACGGAGGAUUCAAGCGUUAUCCGGAUUUAUUGGGUUUAAAGGGUGCGUAGGCGGGCGGUUAAGUUAGGCGUGAAAUCCCGGGGCUCAACUUCGGGAUUGCCUCUGAUACUGUCUGUCUAGAGAGUUGUUGAGGUAGGCGGAAUGUAUGGUGUAGCGGUGAAAUGCUUAGAGAUCGUACAGAACACCGAUUGCGAAGGCAGCAUACCAAGCUACUUCUGACGUUGAGGCACGAAAGCGUGGGGAGCAAACAGGAUUAGAUACCCGGGUAGUC
rnacentral:rRNA from 1 species